UUGGAGGGCAAGUCUGGUGCCAGCAGCCGCGGUAAUUCCAGCUCCAAUAGCGUAUAUUAAAGUUGUUGCAGUUAAAAAGCUCGUAGUUGAAUUUCGGGAUCAAUAUUUCGGUCAUGCCGUUGGUAUGCACUGUUAUCAUUGAUUUCUCACCUUCUAAAGAACCGUAAUGCCAUUAAUUUGGUGUUACGGGGAAUUAGGACUGUUACCUUGAAAAAAUUAGAGUGUUUAAAGCAGGCUCACGCUUGAAUACAUUAGCAUGGAAUAAUGAAAUAGGACAUCCGAUUCUAUUUUGUUGGUUUCUAGGAUCGAUGUAAUGAUUAAUAGGGAUAGUUGGGGGCAUUAGUAUUCAAUUGUCAGAGGUGAAAUUCUUGGAUUCAUUGAAGACUAACUACUGCGAAAGCAUUUGCCAAGGAUGUUUUCAUUAAUCAAGAACGAAAGUUAGGGGAUCGAAGACGAUCAGAUACCGUCGUAGUCUUAACCAUAAACUAUGCCGACUAGGGAUCGGAUGAUGUUAAUUUUUUAAUGACUCAUUCGGCGCCUUACGGGAAAC
rnacentral:rRNA from 1 species